UGACAAAGUGCCAAGAUCAACUGGUAUCUGCCUUACAUCAACUAGCCAGCCAAUAUCCCUGGGGAUGAAAUGGCAGAGAAGCCUGAAGACACAUCUCUGCUGGCAUCUAUGUUUACCACCUAACUUAUUACCUAAAGUGAUUCAUAGGAUGGGGCUGAUGUCAGGACUUGUUAGACAUUUGAAAUCUUUGUAUUGUUAAAUGCAUAGACAGUUAGUUGGGUGUCCUUUUUUCUUUCACCCACCAUUUGUCUGGUAAAUACACCAGGCUGCAGUAGUAAAACACACUUAAGCUGCUUUAUGUCAGCAAACACAGAACAAUAGCAUCUUCUCAAGACCAUUGUCUUCAGAUAGAACCACAGGACAUUGUUGUAAUCUUCAACAGUCUCUGCAGACCAGGAAUACCCCCCGGAGUCAGCUGGCUUCCAGCUGCUUUAGAUUAUCACCCACCCUUCCUCCCACAUUGAAAUUGUUUUGUAAUGAAGACUGAAUAACAAAUAACCACAAGUGGUAACUUCGUACUGAACAACACCAUGAAAGAAGCAUGGUUAUCACCCAGAAAUGAACAUAGGAAGUGAGAUUCCCAUUUGUGAUGGCAGAGGGUCAAAAAUCAACCCCUACAAGCACUGAUGAACCUGACCAAACCAGUGCCUGUGGCAAUGGACAGAGCACGCAUACAGCAGGUAGACUCUCAGGAACUGGGUGGUUCACUGUCCAGGGAGAAGGAUGUGAAGACCACAAGUCUACAAGGUUGCUCCUGAAUAUACAGCAUGAAUUAAAACUACAGAAUACAUGCUCAAACCUUGAAAUUCCCACUUCCAGCCAGCAAAGAAAAAAACAUGGCUUCUCUGUGAAUGCUAAAAGUGUUUAUUACCAUGUUUAGAGUUGACCUGAUGGAAAACCAAAACCAAAAGAUUGAUGUGCUGUUGUUCGUUGAAUCUGAAUACCAGGCAAGUCCACAACCUUGCAAAGCCCCUCAGUGAGCAUGGGGGCCUUGAUCAGGAAAGGGUGGAAUUCUCUCAACUGGAACGGUGACAUCCAGAGGGAAUGAAGAAACUGUAAAAUCCCAUGUGAUUCGCAUGAGAAAACAAUGAAGUAGACCAUAUUUCACAGACCCAAAAAUAUUUUAUAGAAGAGAAAAACUUACAGAUCUCACACUGUAAGAGGCAGAGCCAGAAUUCAAUCCAAGAAUGUCUGACCCAAAGUCCGAGCUCUAAACUAGGGUUCAGCAAACCGUUUCUAUGAAGGGCUUUGCAUGCCUUUUGCCAAGCAGGACUACACCCUGCCAGUGUGAGCAAAAGCAACUGCAGAUAACACAGAAACAAAUGGGUGUGGCUGAGCUCCAAUAAAACUUCAU